UCCGCAAUUUAGAGUUUGAUAGGGCGCUUUGGAACUGUAUAACGAUGGUGAACUUGUCAAGACAUACAUAUUAGACCGUGCAGGAAUGGAGUAUGUGACUGAUUUGAUGAGAAGAGAGCUACAAGAUCCAGUUCGAAGGGAGCAUUCCCUCACCCCGGGGUUGAAAGUGAUUUUGACUUAAAGGUACUUGGCUACAGGAAAAAUGCUGCAGUGUUCAAGUGAUGAGUUAGGGGGUAAGCCAGAGUAGUGUAAGUAGGGUGAUUGUGGAGACUCUGGCCGCCCUCAGUGACCCGUAGGUAGUCGGGAGGUUUAUCCAGUCUCCCCUUGAUAGGGUGGAGAUCCGUGUAAAGCAAGCAGAAUUCUACCAACUUGCCGGCGUUGUGGGAGUGAUAGACUGCACUCAUGUGAAAAUAAUGGCACCAAAGGAAAACGAUGUAGUUUAUGUCAACAAAAAAAAAAAAUAAACAUAGCUUGAACAUACAAUUAAUGUUUUAUGCCUUUGUUAUUGAUUAAAAUGUGAAAUAUUCGAGUUAAGGAAAACAAAACAUGGGAAAAAAACUUUUAUUUGUAGCAGAAAGGUACACACAUGCAAAUGAAAAAGAUGACAUUAAAAUUGCAUUAAAAUGUCAUUUAGAAUAUGAUUUAUAAUUAUUGCUGCCGGUUAUUCAUAUUGAGAUAAUGGUCGAGGUGACCACAUCGCGAACAUCAUGACUUAUGAGUGAAGUAAAACGAGGUUACUUGGUUUCUGUUUACAAAGUUCCAAGUGGAAAAACAACUUUAUUGUGAAUUCAGUGUAUACUUUUCUGGAGUAUUGUGUUUACUGAGUGAAAUGGUAACCAAUCUGUUGCUAUUUGUGUCUUGCUUGAAGAUAUUCAUCAUUGGAUUCAAACCUAUGGUAUUAAUGUGCAAUAGUCAUCAUAACAAAAUACGUAGUAAUUAAUUAUAUAUGUCAACCUAUUUAUUUUCAUGGGAUCAUGGUAUGACCACUGAAAAACAUAGCUUUUUAUCUUGGCUCCAUUACAAAUUCAGCAUAUAAUUACUCUAUUAGUGGAAUCUAGUUUUCAGCAUCUUUUAUUAUUAUGCCAAUAUUCUAAGCACUCAGCUUGCAAACAUGCUUAGGUUUAUGUUGUCAGCUUGGGUCGGACUUAUGUGAACACUUUACCAAGUGACCUAAGAUUACUCAAUGCUCGCAAAGCUAUGGUAUUAACGUGCAAUGGUCAUCAUACCAAAAUACGUAGUAAUUAAUUAUAUAUGUCAACCUAAUUAUUUUCAUGAGAUCAUGGUAUGACCGCUGAAAACAUAGCUUUUUUUAUCUUAGCUCCAUUACAAAUUCAGUAUAUAAUUAUUCAUAUAUUCAAUAAAGUAGUGGAAUCCAG